rnacentral:rRNA from 1 species
UACGUAGGGUGCGAGCGUUAAUCGGAAUUACUGGGCGUAAAGUGUGCGCAGGUGGCUGAGCAAGUCGAGUGUGAAAUCCCCGGGCUUAACUUGGGAAUUGCGCUCGAAACUACUUGGCUCGAGUGUGGCAGAGGAAGGUGGAAUUCCAGGUGUAGCGGUGAAAUGCGUAGAGAUCUGGAGGAACACCGAUGGCGAAGGCAGCCUUCUGGGCCAACACUGACGCUCAUGCACGAAAGCGUGGGGAGCGAACAGG